rnacentral:lncRNA from 1 species
AGAAAUACUAAAUUACAAAAGAAAGAAUGAAAGAAAAAGCUUCAACCAUAGGAAAUCCUUAUUUGACUUCCUAUCUGAGAUAUGCAAUGAACCGUAUCAUUGCCAAUACCAUUGAUUUCAAAGCCUUUCUCAUGCAUGGCUAUGUCAGAGUUCCCUAAGAAUCUCAAAGGACCCGAGGCAGUGCUUAAACCCAAGUUGUGUGACCAAAUAAAGAUGAGUGCAGUGUGGAAGGGCCAGCCUUUAUGUGUCCAAGUUCAGAGGAAGCUCAUGGGUCCCAAAUAAGGGCUCACACAAGAGGGGCAGAAGCUAAGUCUAAGAGUAGAGCGGAAGUGCAUGAGGUGAAAGUUGUGUAAAACAUUAUUAAGAAAAUUAAGGGAUAAAGGUGACUUGAAAACAAUAGCUAAAAUUAUGUAGUAUCAGCAAGUGCACGAAGGGGAAAGGGUGUGGGAAUAUAUUGGAGAUGGCAUGUGACCCUUAGAAAGGUCAAGUAUGGACAUGCACAACAAUAAGUAAAGCUAGCAUGCCCAUAAAACAACCAAACCAUAUAGCAUAUAGAGGUUAUGAUCCCAAUGAAUCAUGUUUGGGUCAUGCACAACAAUAUUCAAUGUUGUCAUGACCCAAACCAACCAAAGAUACAAAAUACAUAGGAGAUGUGGGAUUUAGGAUUCAUAAGUGACUAGUAGAGUAUAUACAUAAAGGAAAUAUAAAUUCAGAAGAAAGAAAGGGCAGAUUACAUCAUUCUUAAUAAUGGAGCUUGGUUAAAUACAAACAUGAGACAAACAAGGAUGCAAGAAACAAUAAAGAAGCAUGUUGUUGUUGAUGCAGAAGUUAAAUUAGGAACAUACCAGUAAAGAUGAAAAUGCAGAGAAAAAUAAGCAAAUUUCCCAAAGCCUAGCCUUGGCUUUUAGCCGGCUCAGUAGAUGUAGCAACAGAGAAAAGAAAGAGAUUUUAGUGGAGUGUCUGUCUAAACUCAAGUAUUUUAUGUCUUGUGUUUGUGUGUUUGAAAGAAGAGAAGUACAUGGUAUUAUAGCUUUUUGAAAACGAGUGAAAGAGAAGUAAUAAGCCACAAAUAUAGAAAUAAUCACUAUUCAGAAUCAAUUACACACAUGAUUGCCUUUAAUUAAGGUAUCACUUUCUUAACAGGCAGUGACAGAUUCAAAAUAAGGAAAAGAAAUCAAUUUAUAGGCAGACUGAUUACUGUCAUAAAAGAAGUUGUAAAACCACCGAGUAAGUGAUUAAGUCUAAGUACAGGAAUAUACUUGUUUAGGAAAGGAUUAAGUAAGUCAAAACAAGAAAAGAAAUCAAUUAACCUUAACAGGCAAGUGAAAUCAGAUUUUCACAAAAGAAAUGUUUAAAAUCAUUCACAAAUUUGAAGAUUAAUCAAAUAGGGAAACUUAGCAUAUAAAUAGAGUUCACAAACACUAGACAUGUGAGGCCAAACUAUUGGCAAAAGGAAACAACAUGUGAUAAUAGCACAAAGUUAGUAAACAAUAAAUAUUCGAAACAUGAUAGUCACGUAGGUCGAGCUUCAAUGACUUAGUAGUGAAGAAAUAGAUAGAGUAUCAGAAGCAUGUAAAGGGUCAAGUGAAAACCCCUUCUAAAGACAUAGUCAAGUUUCAAAAAUAGUAAAAACCCAGAAUCACAUAAAGAAAAGAGAUGCUGAAACAAAGGAAUUUCGAAUCAAGUCGAGAAACUUCAAAGAGAUGAAUUGCACAAGCAGUUUCAGAAACUCGAAUAGACCCCCAAAGUAAUUAGGGUUUUGAAACAAAUCGAGGUUAAAGAUGAUGAGAAAACAAAUUACACAAAUACUUAGAGACUCGAAUGAACCGAAAAGAAAUUAGGAUUUUUCAACACCAAUCGAGUCUAGAGAUGAUAAACAAGUAAAUCAACAAACAAAUAGUCCCAGAAACUCAAAUAAACCAAAAAUUUAGGGUUUUCAACACCAAUCGAGCAUAGAGAUGAUAAACAAGUAAAUUAAACAAAUACUAACUAUGGACCCAGAAACCUUAGAAGAUAUUAGGGUUUUUAUCAUGCAAACUCAUAGAGGAUAACAAGACGAGCAAACGUAGCAAAACAUGUCAAAAAUCAGAGAAAGUUUUGAAAUAAGUUAACAAGAAAACCCUAAUCGGAAAAGAUAAAGAGUUUUGGAAGCAGAGUUUUAAUAGAAAUUUCGAGAAAAAUGCUUAGAAAUUCAAAGCAAACAUAGAUCUGAAGCAAAUCUAAAAGAAAUGGAAAGAACCUUAGAGAUUAGGAUUUCAGAAGAACCCCAAGUGAUGAGAAAGGCCUUAAAAGCCAUUGAUCUAUGCAGGAGAGUCAAAGGUCUGACACGAAUGGCCAUGGUUGGCCGAAAAAAACAUCAGAGACUAUUGGAGAACAGUCAUAGAGCAAAGUUUGGACCAAGCCCCUUUAUGAUCUAGUCGUGAGACCACUGAAACAAAUACGUAAAAGCCAUGGGAGGCUGAUACAGGUCUCCGACGACCUUGGAAGGCCAUGGAUUAGGGCAGAUUAGGGUGGCGACAGCUAGGGUUUGAGGGUGCUGUUGAGAGGAUUUGAGAGAGGAGGGGGAUUCAGA